GAAAGGUUUAUUCCUGGCUUUAUUGUCGGCUUAAACAGAGAUUACACAUGCAAGUUUCCGCUCCCCCGUGAGUAUGCCCUUUAUUCUUAUUAAGAGUUUAUGGAGCUGGUAUCAGGCGCGUACUAAUACGGCCCAAAACGCCUAGUCAAGCCACGCCCCCAAGGGUUCUCAGCAGUGAUAAAUUUUAGGCUCAUAAGUGAAAACUUGACUUAGCUAAAGUUUACAAGGACUGGUAAAUUCUGUGCCAGCUACCGCGGUUAGACAGGAGGUCCAAGUUGAUAAGUAUCGGUGUAGAGUGUGGUUAGGGGUUGUGGAAACUAAAGUUGAACAUCUCUUUGGCUGUUAUACGCACUUGGAAGAUGGAAGCACAAUUACGAAGGUGGCUUUAUUUAGACCUGAGUCCACGACAGUCAGGGAACAAACUGGGAUUAGAUACCCCAUUAUGCUUGACCGUAAACUUUGAUAUUAGCGUACUUUAAUAUUCACCGGGGGACUACGGGCAUCAGCUUAAAACCCAAAGGAUUUGGCGGUAUUUCAGACCCGCCUAGAGGAGCCUGUUCUAUAAUCGAUAAUCCCCGUUCAACCUCACCACCUUUUGUUCAUUCAGCCUAUAUACCGCCGUCGCCAAUUUACCCUGUAAAGGUUAUAAAGUAAGUAAAAGGGGCAUUGCCCAGAACGUCAGGUCAAGGUGUAGCAAAUGAGGUGGAAAGAAAUUGGCUACAUUCCCUAUUCUUAGGGCAUACGGAUGAUAUUAUUAAAUUAAUAUCUGAAGGCGGAUUUAGCAGUAAGGUAGAAGUAGAGCGUCUGCCUGAAGCUGGCUCUGAAAUGAGUACACACUGCCCGUCAUUCUCUCUUAGUUUACUACCCAAAAAUAACUUAAAAACUGUUUUAACGUAAAGAGAGGAAAGUCGUAACAUGGUAAGCGUACUGGAAAGUGCGCUUGGAUCAAU
rnacentral:ncRNA from 1 species